UACGUAGGGUGCAAGCGUUGUCCGGAAUUAUUGGGCGUAAAGAGCUCGUAGGCGGUCUGUCGCGUCGGCUGUGAAAACCCGGGGCUCAACCCCGGGCCUGCAUUCGAUACGGGCAGACUAGAGUUCGGUAGGGGAGUCUGGAAUUCCUGGUGUAGCGGUGAAAUGCGCAGAUAUCAGGAGGAACACCGAUGGCGAAGGCAGGUCUCUGGGCCACUACUGACGCUGAGAAGCGAAAGCAUGGGGAGCGAACAGG
rnacentral:rRNA from 1 species